UCCGAUUUUAAAAACCUUCAAGACUAUAAAAAAAAAUUCUAAUAUAUAUUUUUACAUAUUUAACAAAAAUAUUGAUUUGGUACGCAAGUAAUAGUCUGGUGAGAAUGAGACUUAGACGACCAAAACCUAGGUAAUUAAGGGAUAUAAGUUCCUUGUACCAUGAAAGGAAAAAAAAAAAAACAAAGACAAAAGUUUAAAUAAUAUUUAAUAAUCCAACCUCUUGAAAGACAUUCAAUUAAAUUAUUGAGAAAAAAAAGGGCUGCUAUAGAAGACCCCUCCAUGUGCACAAGCAUUAAAGGCAGGUGAAGAAGCCAAAGUUGUUAAGAACAUUCCGCUAAAGCACCACUAUUUUAUUCUUUCUACUUCAUUAUUAUUUAAUCUAUCAUAGAUGGAUAAUCUCAUCUUAAUUAAAUCUCAU
rnacentral:lncRNA from 1 species